rnacentral:snRNA from 1 species
GUGCUCGCUUUGACAGCACAUUUGCUAAAAUUGGAAUGAUACAGAGAUUAGCGUGGCCCCUGCACAAGGAUGACACAUAAUUCGUAAAGCAUUCCAUACNNNN